rnacentral:rRNA from 1 species
AGGACGAACGCUUGCGACGUGCCUAAGAAAUGCAAGUCGAACGGACCACCAGCAAUGGUGGUUAGUGGCGAACGGUCGCGUAACACGUUGGCAACCUGCCCUGAAGCGGGGGACAACAAUUUGAAAGAGUUGCUAAUACCGCAUGUGGAUCGUGGUGGCAUCACCGAGGAUCCAAAGCCUUGUAGUAAUACGUGGCACUUCAGGAUGGGCCCGCGGCCUAUCAGCUAGGUUGGGGGGUAACGGCCCACCAAGGCUUCGACGGGUAGCUGGUCUGAGAGGACGAUCAGCCGGAUUGGGACUGAGAUACGGCCCAGACUCCUACGGGGGGCAGCAAUUAGGAAUCUUGCACAAUGGGCGAAAGCCUGAUGCAGCGACGUCGCGUGGGGGACGAAAUCUUUCGGGAUGUAAACCCCUUUUGAGUGGGAAGAACAAAUGACGGUACCACUCGAAUAACGCCCGGCUAACUACGCGCCAGCAGCCGC